rnacentral:ncRNA from 2 species
CAUUGCGAGGAGCGCAGCGACGAAGCAAUCUCAAUCCUCAGCACGGGAGAUUGCUUCGCUACGCUCGCAAUGACAUACAUCGCUCAACGAAUCUCACUUCUU